GAUGAACGCUGGCGGCGUGCCUAAUACAUGCAAGUCGAGCGAACAGACGAGGAGCUUGCUCCUCUGACGUUAGCGGCGGACGGGUGAGUAACACGUGGAUAACCUACCUAUAAGACUGGGAUAACUUCGGGAAACCGGAGCUAAUACCGGAUAAUAUAUUGAACCGCAUGGUUCAAUAGUGAAAGACGGUUUUGCUGUCACUUAUAGAUGGAUCCGCGCCGCAUUAGCUAGUUGGUAAGGUAACGGCUUACCAAGGCAACGAUGCGUAGCCGACCUGAGAGGGGGAUCGGCCACACUGGAACUAAGACACGGUCCAGACUCCUACGGGAGGCAGCAGUAGGGAAUCUUCCGCAAUGGGCGAAAGCCUGACGGAGCAACGCCGCGUGAGUGAUGAAGGUCUUCGGAUCGUAAAACUCUGUUAUUAGGGAAGAACAAAUGUGUAAGUAACUAUGCACGUCUUGACGGUACCUAAUCAGAAAGCCACGGCUAACUACGUG
rnacentral:rRNA from 1 species